AUUUAUAUAGUUUAAAUAAUAAAACAUUAUAUUUUCAUUAUAAAAAUAAUAAUUAUUUAUAAAUU
rnacentral:tRNA from 1 species